GUAGGGGGCAAGCGUUGUCCGGAUUUAUUGGGCGUAAAGAGCGUGUAGGCGGCCUGAAAGGUCAGCUGUGAAAACUCGAGGCUCAACCUCGAGACGUCGGUUGAAACCAUCUGGCUAGAGUCCGGAAGAGGAGUGUGGAAUUCCCGGUGUAGCGGUGAAAUGCGCAGAUAUCGGGAAGAACACCCGUGGCGAAGGCGGCACUCUGGGACGGUACUGACGCUGAGACGCGAAAGCGUGGGGAGCGAACAGGAUUAGAUACCCUGGUAGUCCACGCUGUAAACGAUGGGUGCUAGGUGUGGGGGGUGUCGACUCCCUCCGUGCCGAAGCUAACGCAUUAAGCACCCCGCCUGGGGAGUACGGCCGCAAGGCUA
rnacentral:rRNA from 1 species